CGAAAGCCUGACGGAGCAAUACCGCGUGAGGGAGGAAUGCCUUUGGGUUGUAAACCUCUUUUCUCAGGGAAGAAGAUCUGACGGUACCUGAGGAAUAAGUAUCGGCUAACUCCGUGCCAGCAGCCGCGGUAAUACGGAGGAUGCAAGCGUUAUCCGGAAUCAUUGGGCGUAAAGCGUCCGCAGGUGGUUUCCAAAGUCUGCUGUUAAAGACUGGAGCUCAACUCCGGAACGGCGGUGGAAACUUGGAAACUAGAGUUCGGUAGGGGUAGCAGGAAUUCCCAGUGUAGCGGUGAAAUGCGUAGAUAUUGGGAAGAACAUCGGUGGCGAAGGCGUGCUACUGGACCGCAACUGACACUCAGGGACGAAAGCUUGGGUAGCGAAAGGGAUUAGAUACCCCUGUAGUCCUAGCCGUAAACGAUG
rnacentral:rRNA from 1 species